UACGGAGGGUGCAAGCGUUAUCCGGAUUCACUGGGUUUAAAGGGUGCGUAGGUGGGAAUGUAAGUCAGUGGUGAAAUCUCCGUGCUUAACACGGAAACUGCCAUUGAUACUAUGUUUCUUGAAUUUUCCGGAGGUCAGCGGAAUAUGUCAUGUAGCGGUGAAAUGCUUAGAUAUGACAUAGAACACCAAUUGCGAAGGCAGCUGACUACAGGGACAUUGACACUGAGGCACGAAAGCGUGGGGAGCAAACAGG
rnacentral:rRNA from 1 species